rnacentral:rRNA from 1 species
AAACAUGGCUCUUUGAGAUUUAUAUAUAAAGAGUCGGGCCUGCCCAGUGAUGUAUUUUUAACGGCCGCGGUACUCUGACCGUGCGAAGGUAGCAUAAUCAUUUGCCCUAUAAUUGAGGGCUAGUAUGAAUGGUUUGACAUGAGCAUAACUGUCUCCUUAAAAUUUUAUAAAAUUUGGUUUUUAGGCGAAGAAACCUAAAUUAAAUUGAAAGACAAGAAGACCCUAUCGAGCUUUAGAAUAAUUAGUUAAAAAAUAUAAAUAAAACAAUUAAUUUUAAUUAAAAACUUUGGUUGGGGCGACUGAGGAACAUAUAAAGCUUCCUUAAUUAAACAAUGCUGAUAAGCAAUGAUCCAGGAAAUCUGAUUAAAAAAAUUAGUUACCGUAGGGAUAACAGCAUAAUCUUUUUUGAGAGCUCUUAUCGAAAAAAAGGUUUGUGACCUCGAUGUUGGACUAGGAUAUCCUAAAGAUGUAGAAGUCUUUAAUGGUUGCUCUGUUCGAGCAUAAAAAUCCUACGUGAU